rnacentral:rRNA from 1 species
UACGUAGGGUGCAAGCGUUGUCCGGAAUUAUUGGGCGUAAAGAGCUCGUAGGCGGUUCGUCGCGUCGGCUGUGAAAACCCGGAGCUCAACUCCGGGCCUGCAGUCGAUACGGGCGGACUUGAGUGUUGCAGGGGAGACUGGAAUUCCUGGUGUAGCGGUGAAAUGCGCAGAUAUCAGGAAGAACACCCGUGGCGAAGGCGGUUCUCUGGGACGGUACUGACGCUGAGACGCGAAAGCGUGGGGAGCGAACGGG